AUUUUACCACCUAUAGAACUAUCAAAUUUUCUUUGUUCACUUUCAAUUUCAUGAUUGUGAUGUGAAACACACAUUCGUUAUAGCCGAUCCAGUCCAUAAUGGUUUACCGGUGCAAAAGGCAAAUGUUUGUGUCCUGUUGACUGCAUGUCGUGGUUUCUGAUGAUCGUGUUCCCCCUUUUCUAGCUGAUCUGUAUAGUAUAAGGUAUAUAACAAUAUGAUAGUUACAAUUAGGCAUGGAUGCUAUUUAAGCAGUGCUGCAUAGAAUCCCCUGCAUUUAUAAGUGUACAAUCCCUUGACUGGCCAGUGCGAAAACUUACAUUAUUUGUGUUUGGUUUAUUUUGGUACAGCCAAAGCAAAGAAAAAAUCCCACUAAUCUUGCAAUAGUAGUCUCGAAAUUAUAUUUGACUAAGUGGACAUUUAUAUGAUUUUCCCUUGCAGAGAUAUAUAUUCAUUUUUUCUCUAAUUUUUCCUGCCUUUCUGAUGGUACUGUGGCAUUAGUCCAUAAGAUACACCUGUGUUUUUUGUUUAUUUUUCUUAAAUUUUAUAUUCUUCGACUCAUCCGUGUGAUCAUCAAAUGUCUGUGAUUCCUUGCAGCAAUGGCUUUGAUCUGGUACUUCCGUGCACCCUCAAUUUAUAGGGUUGUUCCAGUUUUCUCCUCUGCUGUGCACGGAGUAUAUGGUACAAUAUUGUUUCUACGGUUUCUACAUAGUGCUCAAGCAAUUUCUACACAGUUCUUCUACAUGAUUACCAAGCAUUUUUUUCACCCGAUUUCUGUCAUGGGUUCUAUUAUCUAUUGGAAUUCCUGAUGUUAUUUUCGUUUUCCAUUUAUUGGCUUCAACGGAAUCCAUGGAACCGAAUUUGGUGUAAAAUCGUUGUUGUUUGCUGUAAUUGGCUCAGACAAUCUAUUCGUGCUUACAUUUGUUGUUUACAAACUGUUGACUAGCGUUUGUUUUGCAGGUUGCGCUGCUGUUUGGUAUUGAGGUUCUUUCUUCGCGUUGUGCUUGCCGAGUCUCUCAGAUAGCUAUAUGAGUUACACCUACUGAAUAGGCCAAAAGGCAGUAUCAAAGUUGGCCUACAGCUAGGAGACUCACCUCGAUAGUGCGUAGCGGGUAGAGUGACAGGGACGCUACAAGACGGACAAUGAGCACAAGCACCUCAAAUAAGUGAAAAUACCAUAUCACAUAAGUUAGUUAGAGUUUCUGAAAUGUAAUGCCUCUCAAUUGCAGGUGAAGUUUAAUUUGCUCAUUUUCACAUAGUACAUAAUCGAGUUUCUGUUUCUGUAAAAUAGGUAUCUCGUUAGUCCGAAGUGUGAGUUUUAAUCUCCUCAGUAUGUGCCAUAAAAUAUUUUUGGUGUUUGGAUGAAAGAGCAUGUGUGCCUUGCUUUUUUAGUUUUGUGACAACCUAUUUCAUAGAAUCGGACUAUUGGUCACCUGAAAUAUUUAUGUAUGUUACAUGUACUGCUCUUUCAGUUUUCUGAUGAUCUCACAUGACAACUUUCUUGCAUCAUGUUAGUUCAUUCCUUGACCACCUCUAGAGAGAUUACCUACAAUCUACAGUUCCCUGAAACAAGUAUGAUCGUUUAUGUUCGCAUGCUUUCAAUGUGUAUGUGUACCGAGUGAAUUGAUGUUGUUUUUGGUCCUCUGUUUUCAGGGUCUAUUUUCGCUGCACCAAACUAGAUGGACGAAGCUAGAUGGUCCAGAUUAUCCUUCAGCUCUGUGCCAGGGCCUUGUGCUUAAGCUUAUUGUGAUAGCAUCAACGCUGCCUUAUAAUGAUGUUUUUUGUCAUAGUGACGUUGGAAAUGUAGGCUUACCUGUGGCUUAUUUUGGUCUUCUUAACAAAGCUUAAGACAUCCUUUUCCAUGAGGAGGUGGUGCGAAUUUCACGGGGCCGUGUGCCAAAUCGUGUUUAAGCUAUGGAUGUCGGUGAGAUUCCAUCCAGGGUCAUGAUCAAGGCGGCAUUCACUGCAGUUUCCAAAGUCAUUCACAACACCAUACCCACCAAGGGCGAAUAGAGAAGUGCCGGUGACAUUCUCUCUGACAACCUGUCAUAAACAUCAUUCCGAUGGAGAAGUCCGACUAUACAACCAACAACCUUUGACAUGUGGUACUAAUGACAGUUUAUAUAGUGUUUUUAGCUAUCGAAUAGUUUUUUUUCCAUUUGAUGUUUUAUUACCGUCGAUAUCUAUAGAUGCUUAAUAUAGUACUUUACAAACUAUUUACCGGAGCCGCGAGCCAUGGCAAGCCCCAAAAUAUUGCUCUACUUCCUCUUUUCUUCAUUGAUUUCAUCCUACCGACUUUGUUUUGUAAAAUCUAAAAAUCGUAUUUUCAUUUUUCACCCGAUUUUCAUCAUUCUUAUACAAA